rnacentral:rRNA from 1 species
GGAAUGAUGGGAAUUUAAACCUCUUCCAGAGUAUCAAUUGGAGGGCAAGUCUGGUGCCAGCAGCCGCGGUAAUUCCAGCUCCAAUAGCGUAUAUUAAAAUUGUUGCAGUUAAAAAGCUCGUAGUUGAAUUUCUGCUGCAUUGCAUUUUCUCCUAUACGAGUUUUUGCAUUGUGGCUUAUUUCGGUUAUAAAAUUUAUUUUAUUUCCGGAUGUUUACUUUGAGAAAAUUAGAGUGCUCAAAGCAGGCUUUUGCCUUGAAUAGUUUAGCAUGGAAUAAUAAAGUAGGACUUUGGUUCUAUUUUGUUGGUUUUAGGUACCAAAGUAAUGGUUAAUAGGAACAGUUGGGGGCAUUCGUAUUUAACUGUCAGAGGUGAAAUUCUUAGAUUUGUUAAAGACGAACUACUGCGAAAGCAUUUGCCAAGGAUGUUUUCAUUAAUCAAGAACGAAAGUUAGGGGAUCGAAGACGAUCAGAUACCGUCGUAGUCCUAACCAUAAACUAUGCCGACUAGAGAUUGGAGGUCGUCAGUUUUUACGACUCCUUCAGCACCUUGAGAGAAAUCAA